rnacentral:rRNA from 1 species
UGGGGAAUUUUGGACAAUGGGCGAAAGCCUGAUCCAGCAAUGCCGCGUGUGUGAAGAAGGCCUUCGGGUUGUAAAGCACUUUUGUCCGGAAAGAAAUCCUUGGCUCUAAUACAGUCGGGGGAUGACGGUACCGGAAGAAUAAGCACCGGCUAACUACGUGCCAGCAGCCGCGGUAAUACGUAGGGUGCAAGCGUUAAUCGGAAUUACUGGGCGUAAAGCGUGCGCAGGCGUUUGCUAAGACCGAUGUGAAAUCCCCGGGCUCAACCUGGGAACUGCAUUGGUGACUGGCAGGCUAGAGUAUGGCAGAGGGGGGUAGAAUUCCACGUGUAGCAGUGAAAUGCGUAGAGAUGUGGAGGAAUACCGAUGGCGAAGGCAGCCCCCUGGCCAAGUACUGACGCUCAUGCACGAAAGCGUGGGGAGCAAAACAGGAUUAGAUACCCUGGUAGUCCACGCCCUAAAACGAUGUCAACUAGUUGUUGGGGAUUCAUUUCCUUAGUAACGUAGCUAACGCGUGAAGUUGACCGCCUGGGGAGUACGGCCGCAAGAUUAAAACUCAAAUGAAUUGACGGGGUCAU